UGAGUUCACCGGGGGCUCUGGUGAAGUCUUCCUGCACUGCAAACUCCACGUGUGUCCCAAACAGAACAACUGUGUCCCGACUUGUCCUGCAGGUGCUCGCAGACGCAGAUCUGCCAGGUCCAAAUAUGAAGGUAAAGCCUUCAUCAGCAUGGCCUGGACUCAUUAGGUGGUUUCCAUGGUGACUCGGACUGACUUACAAGUUACUGACCUCCACGAUGAUCCUUGACUUCUGAUUGGUCCUGAGCCAGAUUUUGGAUGUUGGGAAGACUGAGCUGAGUUCUGCGGCAAACUCCCACAGCUGGAAUAAGCAGAUGUUUUUUUAGAGCAGGACCAAACUGUCGUCUUUGACACAUGAUAAAGUUCAGAUGAUGGUUUUUUUUUUCAGUUUCAUUAGUAACUUGGUGAAAGGGAAGAGUGUGAGCUGCAUGUGAUUUCCAGCCUAACCAUAUAAAUAAAUCUGGGGUAAAUCUACACUCCUGAAACUUAACAGAAUCAGAUCUCACUAACACUGUCAGAUAUUUUACUUGAGUUGAGGAUACUGGACAUAUUUAUUUCUUGGCUAUAUUCAUAGAAAGAAAUAUAUGAACACAGGUCCAACGCAUCCAUGAACAGUGAGGCCUUGACCAAAGCGGUAUUUUUCUUUCUCAGGUUGUUGUAAUUUAAAAUGAUUUAGGUACAAAGUGAUGAAAAUUUCCAGUGAAUCAAGUAAAAAAUGGUUUAUUCUGUGAACAUUAAGUGAUUUAAAAGUAAAUAUGAAAAUCAUGUCUUUAAGAAGGUGGUAAUCAGGGUAAAAUAUUUAAAGGGGAUCAUCUGGUUUCUUACUCUUUUUUUGUAGCUGAAUGUUGUAAAGGUGAAGGUGUGUGGAUUUCUUUUUCACCUGUUAUCAGACCAUUACAAUCAUGUGAAGUAUGCAAGCAGAGUCUCUUUAACUCCGAUUGUCUUAUAAAACAAGCCGGGUGCAGCUCAAAGUGGACACAGCUGCUGAACUGUUAUUAGCGAAAGAACCAAGAGAGGACCACAGCUGAGUUAUCAAAGCUGUAAUUUGGUCUCUUUAAGGCUGGUGAAACAAACCAGUGCUGGAGUCCAUGUGACAGAAAACUGACCAGCUGUAACCAAAGCUGCAGUCAGCUGAUCUGUGGUCGUAUCUUUAAACAACUGUGUCACAGUGAAACAAAACAGCUGGUUUAUGUGUUUCCCAUUUGAGCUGCUGAUUGGCACAUAAAGUUGCAGGACAGCAUCACCUUUACUGUGAUCUUUAGUGCUCUGAUAAGCUCAAGAACAUAUGGAAGUUACAUCUUUCCUUUUAGAAAACACACAGUACAAAGUGAGCAUGAUUUCAUGGUGACUUUUUCCUUUCUGUGUUCUUUUUGGAGGCAGCAGUGUUGAUAACAGCACAUGAAACUGAGACUUGAUGCUCUGCUUUGUCGCCUUCACGCUUUACUGUUUGUUCCAAAAGACCAAAAAAAAUAAAUAAAGGACAUGGGUAAUAAAAUAA